rnacentral:lncRNA from 1 species
GAGAUGACGAUGGGCAGCAGUCGUGCGCUCUACCUCUCCCCAACUUUAAGUUUAUGGCUGCUGUGCAUAGUCUUUAUGAAGAUAUCAGAAUCUUACCAUGGCUGAUACAUAUAAGGUGCCAUGCACCUGCUGCCCAAAGCAGGUGACCAGAUGACUUCUUUAUGUGGACCAAACUAUGGUCACAAGAUAUCCACCAGAUAUGUGGUAUAUGCAGCCAGUGUCUGCUGUCUUGACAAGCAGUUAUGGUCUACCAGAAACGUAAUCUAUUGCAUGCUGUCCUGAUGAGAAACUAUGGCCACAAGAUAUCCACCAGAUGUGAU